GAGAGAAUUGGAGGGUCCCAGCCACAGACCCGUUUGCCUCAGGAAGCCGAGCUCAUCUGCAUUCCCACCAUGGCCUGGGCCCCUCUGCUCCUCACGCUGCUCACUUACUGCUCAGGUUCUCUCGCCCAGUACGUGCUGACUCAGCCGCCUUCAGUGUCUGUGUCUCUAGGGCAAAAGGCUCAACUCACCUGCUCAGGGAACAACAUUGGGGACAAGAAUGUGCAGUGGUACCAACAGAAACCUGGCAGCGCCCCCGUACUCGUUAUAUAUCGUGAUAGCAACAGACCCUCUGGAAUCCCUGAUCGAUUCUCUGGUGCCAACUCCGGUAACACGGCCACGUUAACCAUCACUGGAGUCCAGGUACAGGACGAGGCUGAUUAUUACUGUCAGGUGUGGGAUGAUGACAGCAGCGCUGCUCACAGUGACACAGCCAGAUGGGGAAGUGAGACACAAACCUCUUGUCAUCAAAGGGGAACGUUUAAUAGUAUUUGUCCUGUGACAGCGUGA